GCCAGAGUGGCGGAAUUGGUAGACGCACCGGAUUCAAAAUCCGGCGCCAGCGAUGGUGUGCGGGUUCGAGUCCCGCCUCUGGCACCA
rnacentral:tRNA from 1 species